rnacentral:misc_RNA from 1 species
UUUUUUUUCUUUCUUUUUUUUUUUGUUUCUUUUCGGUUUCCCUUUUGAUACAAAAGAAAAAUGAUAGGCAAGAAAUGAGGCGCGGGGCGGUUUUUCUAUAGAGGAGAUGUGUUGGGGUGUGGAAGAUAGAGAGGGAGAGCGCGCGUGUAGGCGCGUGGCAUUUGGUAUUUGCACAAGAAGACAGAGAACAUGGAAAGUGUGUGAAUGGUAGAGGAGUUAUUCAAGCAGUAAUGGAUUUUUAAUGAGCUGAAAAAAAAUAAAACAUUGGGAUUUCGGCCAUAAUGAAAAAGAAAAUAAUAAUAAUGCCGUCUGUCUUCCUCCUCACCCACAUUUUUCUUUUUUCUAUUAACAUGUGUAAUUCUUGUGGGCAGCUCAGCUCUGUUUUUUUU